rnacentral:rRNA from 1 species
ACGAAAUUUUUUAUCGUGAAGACUGCGGACGGCUCAGUAUAUCAGUGAUUAUCUGUUUGAUUGUCUUACCCAUUGGAUAACCGUGGGAAAUCUAGAGCUAAUACAUGCAAUUUUAUUGGUGUUAUCGCAAGGUAGCAUCAAAGCAUUUAUUAGACUUAACCAUCUACCGUGUGGCAACAUACGGUAAGGCGAAUCUAGAUAACUUUGCUGAUCGUAUGGUCUCGUACCGACGACGUUUCAAUUGAGUUUCUGCCCUAUCAAUUUGUUGGUAAGGUAUUGGCUUACCAAGGUUGCAACGGGUAACGGGGAAUCAGGGUUCGAUUCCGGAGAGGGAGCCUGAGAAACGGCUACCACAUCCAAGGAAGGCAGCAGGCGCGCAAAUUACCCAAUCUAGACAGUAGGAGGUGGUGAAAGAGAAAGUACUGAGUGGUGGGCCAAAAUGGGCUGCCAAACUUGGGAAAUGAAACGUAAUUUAAAGCAAUUUCGGGUGAGUAAACUACUGGGAGGGGCAAAGUCCCUGGGUGCCCAGCAGCCCGCGGGUAAUUUCCAGCUCCCGGUGGGCGUGAUUUAAAAGUUUGCUGCCGUUAAAACCGCCUCGUAGUUUGGGAUCACGCAAUAAUUAAUCAGUUUAUCUAGAUGCAGGGCGAUGUUUGACGAUUUUUCCAAGUGAUUAUUGAAAUCAUUGCCGGGUCUAGAUGUUUAUGCUGGGUUGCUACUAUUUGCACACAAGUAUGGGCAUUUGGCCUUAAGUGAGUCGAGUGUCAUGUCUUGUGGAGUGUGCCUUUGAAUAAAACAGAGUGCUCAAAGCAGGCGUACGCUUGAAUGUUAUAGCAUGGAACGAACAAACGUGUAUUUGCGUACGUGUUUCAAGUGUCCGGGGCAACUUGGCAUUGUACAUGUAUGCAGCACCGCCAAAUACGGAUGUGGUUUUCGUAUUAGUGAUGAUAACAGAGCGUUGGGGCAUGUAUUGCCGCGAGAGUGAAAUCUAGACGCAGACUAC